rnacentral:rRNA from 1 species
GGCGAACGGGUGCGUAACACGUGAGAAACCUGCCCCGGUCUCUGGAAUAACAGUUGGAAACGACUGCUAAUACCGGAUGCCGUCGGACCAUCGCAUGGUGGACCGACGAAAGGGUUACCGGACCGGGAGGGUCUCGCGGCCUAUCAGCUUGUUGGUGAGGUAACGGCUCACCAAGGCAUCGACGGGUAGCUGGUCUGAGAGGAUGAUCAGCCACACUGGGACUGAGACACGGCCCAGACUCCUACGGGAGGCAGCAGUAGGGAAUAUUGCACAAUGGGCGAAAGCCUGAUGCAGCAACGCCGCGUGCGGGAAGAAGGCCUUAGGGUUGUAAACCGCUUUCAGCAGGGAAGAAAAUGACGGUACCUGCAGAAGAAGGUGCGGCCAACUACGUGCCAGCAGCCGCGGUGACACGUAGGCACCAAGCGUUGUCCGGAUUUAUUGGGCGUAAAGAGCUCGUAGGCGGUUCAGUUAGUCGGGUGUGAAAACUCUGGGCUCAACCCAGAGACGCCACUCGAUACUGCUGUGACUAGAGUGCGGUAGGGGAGCGGGGAAUUCCUAGUGUAGCGGUGAAAUGCGC